rnacentral:rRNA from 1 species
CUCCAGACUCCUACGGGAGGCAGCAGUAGGGAAUCUUCGGCAAUGGGGGCAACCCUGACCGAGCAACGCCGCGUGAGUGAAGAAGGUUUUCGGAUCGUAAAGCUCUGUUGUAAGAGAAGAACGUGUGUGAGAGUGGAAAGUUCACACAGUGACGGUAACUUACCAGAAAGGGACGGCUAACUACGUGCCAGCAGCCGCGGUAAUACGUAGGUCCCGAGCGUUAUCCGGAUUUAUUGGGCGUAAAGCGAGCGCAGGCGGUUGGAUAAGUCUGAAGUUAAAGGCUGUGGCUCAACCAUAGUAUGCUUUGGAAACUGUUCAACUUGAGUGCAGAAGGGGAGAGUGGAAUUCCAUGUGUAGCGGUGGAAUGCGUAGAUAUUAGGAGGAACACCAGUGGCGAAGGCGGCCUGCUGGGCUUUAACUGACGCUGAGGCUCGAAAGCGUGGGGAGCAAACAGGAUUAGAUACCCUUGUAGG